rnacentral:rRNA from 1 species
AUUGAACGCUGGCGGCAUGCCUUACACAUGCAAGUCGAACGGUAACAGGUCUUCGGAUGCUGACGAGUGGCGAACGGGUGAGUAAUACAUCGGAACGUGCCCGAGAGUGGGGGAUAACGAGGCGAAAGCUUUGCUAAUACCGCAUACGAUCUUCGGAUGAAAGCAGGGGACCGCAAGGCCUUGCGCUCACGGAGCGGGCGAAGGCAGAUUAGGUAGGUGGUGGGAUAAAAGAUUACCAAGCCGACGAUCUGUAGCUGGUCUGAGAGGACGACCAGCCACACUGGGACUGAGACACGGCCCAGACUCCUACGGGAGGCAGCAGUGGGGAAUUUUGGACAAUGGGCGCAAGCCUGAUCCAGCCAUGCCGCGUGCAGGAUGAAGGCCUUCGGGUUGUAAACUGCUUUUGUACGGAACGAAAAGACUCUGGUUAAUACCUGGGGUCCAUGACGGUACCGUAAGAAUAAGCACCGGCUAACUACGUGCCAGCCGCCGCAGUAACAC